UGAAAAAUGUCACCCGCCUCCAAGUGAUUCCAUCUGAGGAACCUGCGUUUGGCCAGUUCCAGCCUGUGGAUCACCCUAUACCUCUCAUCUCCAUGGAUCGGCAACCUCCACACCUCCCACACCAAGUUCUAAAAUCUCAAAUAAAAGAUCCAGAACUUCUCAAACCAGAAGGGGCCCCUGGACCGGUCCAGGCCAUCUGUCGAAAUAAGGAGCGGCAGUGAUCCGAGACAAUCCUCGGUAGGUGCUGAACACAAUACCCC
rnacentral:lncRNA from 1 species